CGUGAGUAACCUGCCCUGGAGUGGGGAAUAACAGCUGGAAACAGCUGCUAAUACCGCAUAAUGCAGUUGGGUCGCAUGGCUCUGACUGCCAAAGAUUUAUCGCUCUGGGAUGGACUCGCGUCUGAUUAGCUAGUUGGUGGGGUAACGGCCCACCAAGGCGACGAUCAGUAGCCGGACUGAGAGGUUGGCCGGCCACAUUGGGACUGAGACACGGCCCAGACUCCUACGGAAGGCAGCAG
rnacentral:rRNA from 1 species